rnacentral:rRNA from 1 species
CUCCACCGAAAGAAAAGGAGUGGCGAACGGGUGAGUAACACGUGGGUAACCUGCCCAUCAGAAGGGGAUAACACUUGGAAACAGGUGCUAAUACCGUAUAACAAUCGAAACCGCAUGGUUUCGGUUUGAAAGGCGCUUUUGCGUCACUGAUGGAUGGACCCGCGGUGCAUUAGCUAGUUGGUGAGGUAACGGCUCACCAAGGCAACGAUGCAUAGCCGACCUGAGAGGGUGAUCGGCCACAUUGGGACUGAGACACGGCCCAAACUCCUACGGGAGGCAGCAGUAGGGAAUCUUCGGCAAUGGACGCAAGUCCGACCGAGCAACGCCGCGUGAGUGAAGAAGGUUUUCGGAUCGUAAAACUCUGUUGUUAGAGAAGAACAAGGAUGAGAGUAGAAUGUUCAUCCCUUGACGGUAUCUAACCAGAAAGCCACGGCUAACUACGUGCCAGCAGCCGCGGUAAUACGUAGGUGGCAAGCGUUGUCCGGAUUUAUUGGGCGUAAAGCGAGCGCAGGCGGUUUCUUAAGUCUGAUGUGAAAGCCCCCGGCUCAACCGGGGAGGGUCAUUGGAAACUGGGAAACUUGAGUGCAGAAGAGGAGAGUGGAAUUCCAUGUGUAGCGGUGAAAUGCGUAGAUAUAUGGAGGA